rnacentral:rRNA from 1 species
GACGAACGCUGGCGGCGUGCUUAACACGUGCAAGUCGAACGGUGACGGAGGAGCUUGCUCCUCCUGAUCAGUGGCGAACGGGUGAGUAACACGUGAGCAAUCUGCCCCUGACUCUGGGAUAACUGCGGGAAACUGUAGCUAAUACCGGAUACGACGCGCGAAGGCAUCUUCUGCGCGUGGAAAGAAUUUCGAUCAGGGAUGAGCUCGCGGCCUAUCAGCUUGUUGGUGAGGUAAUGGCUCACCAAGGCGACGACGGGUAGCCGGCCUGAGAGGGUGACCGGCCACACUGGGACUGAGACACGGCCCAGACUCCUACGGGAGGCAGCAGUGGGGAAUAUUGCACAAUGGGCGCAAGCCUGAUGCAGCAACGCCGCGUGAGGGACGACGGCCUUCGGGUUGUAAACCUCUUUUGGCAGGGAAGAAGCGAAAGUGACGGUACCUGCAGAAAAAGCACCGGCUAACUACGUG